GCCUGUUUAUCAAAAACAUCGCUCCUUGUAACAAAAUAAAUAAGGAGUCGGACCUGCCCAGUGAAUUUUUAACGGCCGCGGUACUCUGACCGUGCAAAGGUAGCAUAAUAAUUUGCCUUAUAAUUGAAGGCUAGAAUGAAUGGUUUAACGAGAAUAAAGCUGUCUCUUUGCAAUUUUAUAAAAAUUUAUUUGCAGAUGAAAAAGUUUGCAUACUAUUAAAAGACAAGAAGACCCUAUCGAGCUUUAAAAAAUUUAGUGGGCUAGAAACUUAUUGGUAAUUUAAAAUAGUUGGCUACUAAAGAAUUUUAGUUGGGGCGACUGAGGAACAAAUGAAGCUUCCUUGUCCAUAAUUACUUUACCUAUCAGCUAUGAUCCAGAAAUUUCUGAUUAAUAAAAUUAGUUACCGUAGGGAUAACAGCAUUAUCUUUUUUGAGAGCUCCUAUCGAAAAAAAGGUUUGUGACCUCGAUGUUGGACCAGAAUGUCCUAAAGAUGCAGCAGUCUUUAAAGGUUGGUCUGUUCGACCAUUAAUAUUCUACGUGAUCUGAGUUCA
rnacentral:rRNA from 1 species